GACGAACGCUGGCGGCGUGCUUAACACAUGCAAGUCGAACGGAAAGGCCCUGCUUUUGUGGGGUGCUCGAGUGGCGAACGGGUGAGUAACACGUGAGUAACCUGCCCUUGACUUUGGGAUAACUUCAGGAAACUGGGGCUAAUACCGGAUAGGAGCUCCUGCUGCAUGGUGGGGGUUGGAAAGUUUCGGCGGUUGGGGAUGGACUCGCGGCUUAUCAGCUUGUUGGUGGGGUAGUGGCUUACCAAGGCUUUGACGGGUAGCCGGCCUGAGAGGGUGACCGGACACAUUGGGACUGAGAUACGGCCCAGACUGCUACGGGAGGCAGCAGUGGGGAAUAUUGCACAAUGGGCGGAAGCCUGAUGCAGCAACGCCGCGUGCGGGAUGACGGCCUUCGGGUUGUAAACCGCUUUCGCCUGUGACGAAGCGUGAGUGACGGUAAUGGGUAAAGAAGCACCGGCUAACUACGUG
rnacentral:rRNA from 1 species